UGCUCACAGACCCAAGAAACGAUGCAUCGUAUCGCUGAUGCAGCUCUUAACGUAUUCAUUAAGAACUUCAUCGCAGACCAUGACCCAGAUCGUGUUGCAUCUUUCUCAGACUCAUUUGAUAACUUCUAAGAUCCUAAUGUAUUUGCCAUAAACAUGAGAAUCUAAGAAUACUGUUUUAUAUUUCUUCCCCCAAGGGUGUGCCAGAAGAAUACAGGGGGGAAAAAAGGACCCCCCCUGCCAAAUUUAAUAAUUUUAUAUUGCUUACCCUUGACUCUUCCAGGUCAUUUCGCUCCCCGUGCCCCAAAGUAAGUGCAGCUCUCAGUUUGUUUCCACGGAAAUUAUGGAAGCCUUAAGGAAACUGUUCCCAUUUUGAGACUGCAUCUCCUCUUGAUGGUCCAUCACUUAGGAGCAUUUUCUAUAAGUCAAGUUUCCUGUGCCCCUACCUUGUUACCAUCUGCUUCUGGCUGGUGAGAGAUUAACAGGGUGGGAAGGGGCAGGGUUGAGCCAAGCAGGGUAGUCCUCUGGACUGUCCACCAAGUCCCCCUGUCUACAGGUCACUUAUAUGUCAUGGACACUGUGGAGGUUUCUGAUGUGCUGCUGUCUGCAAAUUGUUCAAAGUUUAACAUGGACUGAACUUUCACUACCUAAACAAACAGCAGGGAAUAAACCAAGGGUGACUUUGCAUUAAGUGCUAUGAUUUCAAUUUGCUCUACGCGUAGGUGGAGUAGAUGGACCCUUAUCUGAUAUGAUUCAGGAGCUUUGGAAUCCAUGAUGAUAAAGGUAAUGUUUAUGGAGUGUUUUGUCCGCCAUAUGCCCGUUGCUACUUAAUCUUUCCAACAACUCUAUCGGGCAGCAAUUCUUACAAUGCUUUGUUUCAGUUCUCUUUAAACUCUUACAAUUAUUGAGGACCCCAAAUAGCUUUUGCCCAUGUGAGCUGUAUACCUAUUGACAUUUACCGUAUUAGAAAUUCAAUUGAAAAAAACGAAAACAGGGAUUUACAGACACACUUUCCGUUAGCCGUCAGAGCAAUGACAACCAUGACAGGUCACAGAGCCUCGGGAAAACUGUAUAUGUGUGAGAGGAUGAGAGUGAAAAGGGAAAGUAAUAUUUUUGCCCUAUUAUGAAAAUGAUUUUUGACUUCAGGGACCCCUGAAAGAGCCUUGGGGGCCUCCAGGGUCCUUGGAUCACCUUUUGAGAACCACUGUUAAGAAUCCUGCCAUCAUUCUGUGAGAAGCCCAAACUUCAUGGAGAGGCCACAUGGAAGAAAACCAGGAUUCAGGGGACAACAACUCCAGCUGAUUGCUGGCUAACACCCAGACUACAGCCACAUGAGUCAUCUUGGAUGCUGUAGACUAAUUGGCCUUCCAGAUCCACUUCCAACUGAUCUCUGCAGGAAGAAGCAUUCUGAGAUCAUAGAGAAGCUGGAUUCAGCCUAAAAACUGCCCCUGCCCACAGGUCCCAGAUACUAAGCCGAUGAAUGCCUUCAGUCAGAGCCAUUUACUGCUGUGUCCGUGCAUCAUGUGAAACCAUCCCAUGCGCCAAACGUGUUACCAGCACUGCACGUCUCAUACCCCGCUGACACCUGUCUGCCUCUCCUGGAUCCAUCAGUUAGUAUCGUUCCCUCUGAGAGCAUAAGGUUAGUUUGAGGAACUCGAAAUGUGGUAGACGCCAACUAACUCAUUUUCUUGGCUCCCGUAUCUGCCCUCAUUAUCCCUGCUGUCACGAAAACACGGAGCUUGCUAGGUCUUUUCUUCACUUACAAUCUGGCCGUUGCUUCCCAUUUCUCUAGGGUGGCACAGGUCAUCUUGCCAGUCUAGCUUUCCAGCCCAGUCUUCUUUCUCCCUUCCUCUAACCUUGUCCUCUUAAGACUCAGCAUUGCUGGGUUCCUGGUCACUGCCUAAAUUUGCUAGUCUUUUCCAUCCUUGUACAUGGAACACCCUCUACCUGGAAUGCCUUCACGCUUCCUAUGCUGCAAGACUCAAAUCAAACGUCAUUUUCUUUGGGAAGCCUUCUACUCCUCCCAGGAGAGUGAAACCUGCCUCUUCUGAAGUCCUACGGAAUAUUGCAUUUUCCUUGAAUUAGAAUUGCUGCCUUGCAAUCCAGUCCCUUCUUUGUAUUUACCAUGGCCACUUGGCUGUGAGUCCCUCAGGGAUGGGUAAUUUGCCAGGCAUCCCUGUCCUCGUGCCUUACCUAACAUGGAGUUUGUGGUAGGUAGAACUCUGAGAUGGCCCCAGGAUCCCUCGCCCCUGGUUAUUCCAACACUAAGCUAGGCACUACUGUGAAAAGGUAUUGCAAAUGUAACUAAAGCCUCAGAUCAGUUGACCUUAAAAUCCGGAGAUUAUGAAGAUUAUCUGGAUAGGCCUGAUCUAAUCAUGUGAGCCCUUUAAAAGCAGACAGAUUUUUCUGGCUGGUUGAAGAAGAAGUCAGAGACAUCCAAAGCAGGAGAGGGAUUUCACACAGGGGAAAUUCUCCGUGGCUGCAAUGGAGGGUCCCAUGUGGCAAGGACCUGGGAGCCACCUCUAGGAGCUGAGCACAGGCCCUGGCUGAUAGUUAACAAGACAACGGGGACCUUAGUCCUCCAGCCACAGGAAAUGAAUUCUGCCAAGAGCCACUGAGCUCAGAAGAGCACCCUGGGACCCAGACCAGGCCUGAAGCUCUGGCUGACACCUCUUUUUUCCCAGUGAGACCCCGAGCAGAAAAGUCAGUGGUUCCAUGUCCAGACUCCUGCCCUACAUGUUGUGCAGUGAUGAAUUUGUGCUGUUCUACACUGCUCAGUGUCUGGUAACUCCUCACACGCCAAUAGAAGACUGAUAAAGGAUGGAUGCUGAGUAAAUGCUGAAUGAAUAAAUGCAUGGGAACAUGUA